CAAGAGGUGUAAAUAAACCAUUAGAACUGCUAACUCAAAUAGCUAAGGAUAAUAACCCUUAGGCCUCUU
rnacentral:tRNA from 1 species